rnacentral:rRNA from 1 species
UACGUAGGGGGGCAAGCGUUGUCCGGAUUUAUUGGGCGUAAAGAGCGUGUAGGCGGCCAAGCAGGUCAGCUGUGAAAACUCGAGGCUCAACCUCGAGACGUCGGUUGAAACCGCUUGGCUAGAGUCCGGAAGAGGAGAGUGGAAUUCCCGGUGUAGCGGUGAAAUGCGCAGAUAUCAGGAGGAACACCAAUGGCGAAGGCAGCUCGCUGGGACGGUACUGACGCUGGAGGCGCGAAAGCGUGGGGAGCAAACAGGAUUAGA